UCCAUUCUUUCUCUCCCUCCCUCCCCCGCCUCCACCAGCGAGCCCCUCUUCUCUCCCUUGCUCCGAUCUGGUGGAGCCGCCGCCCCCAACCUCUCUCUCCGACUACGAUCCGCCGCCGCCUCCAACUGCUCCCACCCCACUCCUCUUCCCCUCCUCCUUGGGUAGCCCAGUCGUCAUCGCGACCGAGGACCAGAGACGCGUGCGGGAAGCUCAAGGCGGAGGAGGAGCAGCGGUGGCGGCGGCGGCGAGUCAGGGCGAGGCCAGCACCGAGGACCAGAUCUCGCUCCUGCCGCCUCCCGGGGAUGCCCGCGCGGGCCUUCGGCGGAGCUAGGCCCCGCGCUCCUAUUCGUUGGCGCCUGCGCUUGGGAGAAUCGAGGGCAGGUUGUGCGCGGCCCUCGUCAGCCGCAUCUGCUAAGGUGGUGGCCGGGCCGGCGGCGGAGGUGGCGGCCCGGCUGUGAGGGGAGGUCACGUGGUGAGGAGCGAUGGAUCCACCGGCGAGGACGGGCGUGGCUCAUACAAGGGGGGAGGCUCUUACAGCGGGAGGACCGGCGAGGGUGGGCAUGGCUCAUACCAGGCGGGAGGCUCUUGCGGCGGGAGGACCGGCGAGGGUGGGCAGGGCUCAUACCACAGGGAAGGCUCAUACGGCGGGAGGUCCGGCGGAGACGGCGCCGGGCAUGGGCAUGGGCAUGGAGGGAGCGCACGUGGUGGGCGUGGCGCGCGCGGAUCCGAGCAUGAGCAGGCCAACGGUUUCUGGGGAGGCCUUCGGCGCCGCCUGAAGAAGACGCUUGAUGAACGUGACCUGGUGGAGGCCCUCGAGGAGCUGCAUUACCAAGUAGAGAUUGGCAAGGCCGGUGGUGAGAAGUGGAAGUCCUGAGUGAUGAUAGGAGGAAGCAAACUUGCUGAAGCAAACUUUCCCGGCAAGAACGGAUCCCUCAAGCUGGACGAAUGGGUGUUGUGCCGGAUGUACAACAAGAAGAACAACUGGGAGAAGGUCAAGGUGGAGCAGGACAUGGCCGUGGAGGCAUGGCCUGGACGCUCGUCAACCUCGGCCACUUCGUGAUUACAUACCACUUCUUCCACUGGAAGAAGGGAACUCGAUUCGCUGAUGAUCAGGGGAUGUAUAAUAGAUUGACUUGGUGGGAGCAAAUGGACAACGGCAAGCAGCUUACUCGCAACAGAAAUUUUUUUGUUGUGGUUCCUGUAGUCCUCGGCCGUGCUCCACCAGCUAUUUUUUGGUUCUUGCAAUCAGGGGACUUCCUUGCAAGACAGGGCCCGCCCUCUUUUGCUUCUUCUACUACCUACUGUUGCUGAUUGGUCUAUGCACAAUUGAUAAUCCAUCAAUGUUUAUUUGCUACUUCUGUAGUAGCUGAUAUGCUUGAUGCGUGUAUCUCUAUCUCCUUACAGCUUUGCUAGAACCAUAAAUCCUGAUGCAUGAUGAUUAUAGUCUGGUUUGCUAGAUCUGUUCUAUUGGUGCUUAAAAUUUGACAUGCCUGGAUUCUGAACUUUUCAUUUCUAUGAUCAAUUUAGUUAGAGUUGCACAUGUCAGUAUACUAUAUACCAAAAAAACCGUAGCUAGUGAGAACAUUUCACUCCAUGAACAUAUACUGGUUAGUGUUAGUCAUACUAUUUAUCUACAUGGCAUUUCCUGUCAAUUCUUGCUUAUAAGUUAUUGGAUUCCUCAUUGGCUAUUGUUUGAUGUUCUGUACACAUUCUUAUUCUUAUAUUUUCAUUCUUAUCCUUUGCACAGGUGAAGUGCGAAUCGAAGUCCGAAGCUGUGAAGCAUAUCAACAAGUAGUAGCAUAUUAUGUGUUGUAAUUGUAGGCAGUAGUAGGCAUAUCUGGCUUGUAGUAUACUGUAAUGAUUAUGAUAGACUAAUGUAUUGUUGUUUUGGAUCAAUUUUGAUUGCUCUCUGGUCUAAUAAUUAUUGUGUAUGUGGUUUGAAUACCUGUGAAAUGGAAACCUGACAAUGG